UACGUAGGGGGCAAGCGUUAUCCGGAUUUACUGGGUGUAAAGGGAGCGCAGGCGGUCUGGCAAGUCUGAUGUGAAAUACCGGGGCUCAACUCCGGGACUGCAUUGGAAACUGUCAGACUGGAGUGUCGGAGAGGCAGGCGGAAUUCCUGGUGUAGCGGUGAAAUGCGUAGAUAUCACGCAGAACUCCGAUUGCGAAGGCAGCAUACCGGCGCCCAACUGACGCUGAGGCACGAAAGCGUGGGUAUCGAACAGG
rnacentral:rRNA from 1 species